rnacentral:rRNA from 1 species
UGAUAUACGCUCGUCUCAAAGGUUAAGCCAUGCAUGUCUAAGUACAAGCUUCCUAGAAAGUGAAACCGCAUAAGGCUCAGCAUAACAGCUAUAAUUUACAAGAUCCUCAUCCAAACAGUUACUUGGAUAACUGUGGAAAAGCCAGAGUUAAUACAUGCAUUAUGCCGGGACUGUUGGCCUCCGGGUCGGCGGAACUGGUGCACUUAUUAGUUAAACCAAUCGCCUCCGGGCGCUUUGAGUUGAAAUCUGGAUAAGGAUGCCGAUCGUACGGUCGCUUGCGACUGACGACAGAUCUUUCAAAUGUCUGCCCUAUCAACUAUUGAUGGUAGUGUAGAGGACUACCAUGGUUGCGACGGGUAACGGGGAAUCAGGGUUCGAUUCCUGAGAGGGAGCCUGAGAAAUGGCUACCACAUCCAAGGAAGGCAGCAGGCGCGUAAAUUACCCAAUCCCGGCACGGGGAGGUAGUGACGAGAAAUAACAAUAUGGACCUCUCUAACGAUGGUCCAUAAUUGGAAUGAGUUGAGCAUAAAUCCUUUUGCAAGGAUCAAGUGGAGGGCAAGUCUGGUGCCAGCAGCCGCGGUAAUUCCAGCUCCACUAGCGUAUAUUA